AGGACGAACGCUGGCGGCGUGCUUAACACAUGCAAGUCGAACGAAGUCCAUCCGGUAGCAAUACCGGUGAAGGCUUAGUGGCGAACGGGUGAGUAUCACGUGAGCAACCUGCCCCGAAGACUGGGAUAACACCGGGAAACCGGUGCUAAUACCGGAUGUCUUUCAAUGAUCGCAUGAUCGAUGAAAGAAAUGUUUUUUCGCUUUGGGAGGGGCUCGCGGUCCAUCAGCUUGUUGGCGGGGUAACGGCCCACCAAGGCUACGACGGAUAGCUGGUCUGAGAGGACGAUCAGCCACACUGGAACUGAGACACGGUCCAGACUCCUACGGGAGGCAGCAGUGGGAAUCUUGCGCAAUGGACGAAAGUCUGACGCAGCAACGCCGCGUGAGGGACGAAGGCUUUCUGAGUUGUAAACCUCUUUCGACAGGAACGAUUGUGACGGUACCUGUAGAAGAAGCACCGGCCAACUAUGCGCCAGCAGCCGCGGUAA
rnacentral:rRNA from 1 species